AAAAGUUAUGGAUAUCAUAGAACAUAUACGUAGAGAUGAAAAUUGUGUAUAAUUUGAACAUGGUAUUAAAAAAGAAACGGAAAAUCAACAUGGCAAUCCUGACAAUUUGAAGAAUGGUUUGGAGGAGAACAACACUGUUAAGGAAAGUAGUGAUCUAUUGCAAUGUAUUUGGACGUCAAAAUGGGACCCUGAAAUAAAAGGACUUAAAACCUUACUGUCUACCACCAAUGUAUCCCUUUAAUGCCUAGUUUGAUUAUUUUCAGACACUAAUAUUGAUUAAAAUCAUGUUAUUACAUCGUUAUACAAUCUAUGGAAAUUCAAGGGAAUACUUGAAGCAAAUCCUCAGAAAACCCACAUCCUAGAAGCCAGUGGCAGUUGAGCGGUGAUUCCUUCCCUGUUCCCACACUUAUAUAUAGGACGUCAGAUGUAUAGUCUAUAGGUGCCGUUGUAUCUCAUUAUUAAUUUUAAAACAAAAGUACAUCAACAAACGAUAGGAAAUUGUAAUGAGUAGAACUCAUAAGUCAUAUGCAAUCAAUAGGAGUAUGAAUAUUUAAUUAUCUCCCAUUCCACUGUUCUUCACAAAGUAGGAACAUCUAAGAAUCUUCCCCAGGAUAGCUUCUUCUUGGGAUUCUGAAAGAGACAACUCCCCUCAAUUUACAUUCUGGAACUCCAUAUCACAGUUGGUAGACUGUGCUGGGCUUAGCCCGUUGUUUUGUGAAUGGAGUAGUGAUCUUUUCAAUACAUCCCAGAUCCCAGCUUUUGAUUUUUUGGAGGAGUGUCUUGAUUGUUUUUAGUUUUACUGGAGAUUCUUGUGAUGGGAAGAACUACGAAC
rnacentral:lncRNA from 1 species